AGUGAACGCUGGCGGCAGGCCUAAUACAUGCAAGUCGAACGGCAGCACAGUGGAGCUUGCUCCAUGGGUGGCGAGUGGCGGACGGGUGAGGAAUACAUGGGAAUCUGCCCAGUCGUGGGGAUAACGUAUGGAAACGUACGCUAAUACCGCAUGCGCCCUUCGGGGGAAAGUCGGGGACCGCAAGGCCUGACGCGAUUGGAUGAGCCCAUGUUCGAUUAGCUAGUUGGCGGGGUAACGGCCCACCAAGGCGACGAUCGAUAGCUGGUCUGAGAGGAUGAUCAGCCACACUGGAACUGAGACACGGUCCAGACUCCUACGGGAGGCAGCAGUAGGGAAUAUUGGACAAUGGGCGCAAGCCUGAUCCAGCCAUGCCGCGUGAGUGAAGAAGGCCCUCGGGUUGUAAAGCUACUUUGUUGGGAAGAAAGCAGUUGGUUAAUACCGAUUGUUCUGACGGUACCCAAAGAAUAAGCACCGGCUAACUUCGUGCCAGCAGCCG
rnacentral:rRNA from 1 species